rnacentral:sRNA from 1 species
GAACGUUGCUUCAGCAACGGCCCGCAGGGCGAGCCACGCAGUGGCGAGUCAUCCUCUAUCACCGACCA